rnacentral:rRNA from 1 species
GUGAACGCUGGCGGUAGGCCUGACACAUGCCAGUCGAACGGCAGCACAGUAAGAGCUUGCUCUUACGGGUGGCGAGUGGCGGACGGGUGAGGAAUACAUCGGAAUCUACUUUUUCGUGGGGGAUAACGUAGGGAAACUUACGCUAAUACCGCAUACGACCUACGGGUGAAAGCAGGGGAUCUUCGGACCUUGCGCGAUUGAAUGAGCCGAUGUCGGAUUAGCUAGUUGGCGGGGUAAAGGCCCACCAAGGCGACGAUCCGUAGCUGGUCUGAGAGGAUGAUCAGCCACACUGGAACUGAGACACGGUCCAGACUCCUACAGGAGGCAGCAGUGGGGAAUAUUGGACAAUGGGCGCAAGCCUGAUCCAGCCAUACCGCGUGGGUGAAGAAGGCCUUCGGGUUGUAAAGCCCUUUUGUUGGGAAAGAAAAGCAGCAGGUUAAUACCCCGCUGUUCUGACGGUACCCAAAGAAUAAGCACCGGCUAACUUCGUG